rnacentral:rRNA from 1 species
CUACGGGCGGCUGCAGUGGGGAAUAUUGCACAAUGGGCGCAAGCCUGAUGCAGCCAUGCCGCGUGUAUGAAGAAGGCCUUCGGGUUGUAAAGUACUUUCUGCGGGGAGGAAGGGAGUAAAGUUAAUACCUUUGCUCAUUGACGUUACCCGCAGAAGAAGCACCGGCUAACUCCGUGCCAGCGGCCGCGGUAAUACGGAGGGUGCAAGCGUUAAUCGGAAUUACUGGGCGUAAAGCGCACGCAGGCGGUUUGUUAAGUCAGAUGUGAAAUCCCCGGGCUCAACCUGGGAACUGCAUCUGAUACUGGCAAGCUUGAGUCUCGUAGAGGGGGGUAGAAUUCCAGGUGUAGCGGUGAAAUGCGUAGAGAUCUGGAGGAAUACCGGUGGCGAAGGCGGCCCCCUGGACGAAGACUGACGCUCAGGUGCGAAAGCGUGGGGAGCAAACAGGAUUAGAUACCCUUGUAGUC